rnacentral:rRNA from 1 species
GAUGAAUACUAGGUGUAGGAGGUAUCGACCCCUUCUGUGCCGUCGCAAACGCAAUAAGUAUUCCACCUGGGGAGUACGGCCGCAAGGUUGAAACUCAAAGGAAUUGACGGGGGCCCGCACAAGCAGUGGAGUAUGUGGUUUAAUUCGACGCAACGCGAAGAACCUUACCAGGGCUUGACAUCCUCUGACGGUCUUAGAGAUAAGGCUUCCCUUCGGGGCAGAGAGACAGGUGGUGCAUGGCUGUCGUCAG